UUUUGCUAUUGGCUAAUUGAUUUGUCCAUGUCUCUCUCUUCGUCGAUGUUUUCCAUGGAAGAGUUUUUUCUCUUCCUCCUACAAUCCCAAUCACUCCAUCUUCUCUAUGGCUUCUGAUCUCGAUCUCCUUCUUGGGAGUGAAAUGGCUCUUAUACAAUUUUGAAGCUCAUGUGUUGUUGCUCAGUGGGGGAUUCGUCGUUCUCAGGUUGCAGUCAAAGCUCCUUUUUAUCCAACCAGAUUGGAAUCUCACCUAGACAACAGUAGCGUCAGCCAAAUCAAUUGUUUUGGAACUUCACAGUCGAGUAUGUUCUCACAGGACUUCGCUCAAGACGCUCAAGUUGCUAGACUGUUACAAAGUUGGAGACGAAUCUGUAUCCUCCCUGGCUCAGUUCUGCAAGAAUCUGGAGACUCUGAUCAUCGGUGGAUGCAGAGACAUCUCUGAUGAGUCAAUUAUAUUGCUGGCGGAUUCUUGCAGAGACGGGCUCAAGAACCUGAGGAUGGAUUGGUGCUUGAAUGCAACCGACUCUUCACUUACCUGCGUUCAAGCUUCUUGGAAGGAGAUGGGGUUUGGAGCUUGUUGAUGGAUGCUGGAUCAGGCAAGUAACCUGCCAGAGUAGUGUUGACUGCAGGGAAUGCACUAACUUGUUGGUGGACUCUGCGCAUUGUCAUCUUGGAGAACUGAGUUUUGAGUAGUGAUCUUGAAUAAUAAUCUUGAGAGAGAUUGUGAGGGAUGCUGAUGAUGAAACCUGUGUGGUGUGAAGGUUAUUUAAAGGGAAAGACAAAGAGACAAAUGGCAGUUAAAAACAAAAGAUCGUUGUGUCUUGAGGAGCUUUGUGGUAAUGGGCGUGUCAUGGAUGGGUCAUCAAGUCGCAUAGAUAAAGCUAUUUUCUUUGGUGUUAAAAAGCAAUGAAUGAGAAGAAGAUCAAGCAUAUGCUCUUUUUUUUUGAAAUCAAGGUUUUACAAUAUAUUUUAGUUCAAUAACUGAUAAAAUGUGUUAGUAUUUUUGUUUGAGUUUGCUUUUCCAAAUUUCAAAAACAAUUCAGCAGUGCAAAAGUAAUUUCAAUCAUUUCUCUUAAAA